rnacentral:rRNA from 1 species
CAGCAGCCACGGGAAUACGAAGGGGGCUAGCGUUGCUCGGAAUCACUGGGCGUAAAGGGUGCGUAGGCGGGUCUUUAAGUCAGGGGUGAAAUCCUGGAGCUCAACUCCAGAACUGCCUUUGAUACUGAAGAUCUUGAGUUCAGGAGAGAUGAGUGGAACUGCGAGUGGAGAGGUGAAAUUCGUAGAUAUUCGCAAGAACACCAGUGGCGAAGGCGGCUCACUGGCCCGAUACUGACGCUGAGGCACGAAAGCGUGGGGAGCAAACAGGAUUAGAUACCCGCGUAGUCCCUGUCUCUUAUAC